AACUGUGACCUCUAUGGGAAGCUCGGACAUUGGGCAGCAGCAACAGCAACCACAACAACCUGUAACAUUUCUGAGACAACAAACACAACCUGUGACUUCUAUUUCAUUUUCGAACACUGAUGAAAAACCUGCUACAUUCUUAAGUUUGAACCAACCACAGCCAGUAACCUCUGUGAGAAGCUUAACUAGAGAAAACCCACCAGUUGGUGUCCGAUUGAGCUCGACACAAGGGCGG
rnacentral:misc_RNA from 1 species